UCAUUAAUCUGUUCCGUCUUUUCUUUUUGUCUUAAGGGAAAGAAAAAGGGGGAAAAGCAAUAUUUCUUUUACUUUUAUUUUAAAUGGGGGCCUAAGAAAAAGUACAAUCUUGUUUUUUUUGUUUUUUGUUUGUUUUUUAAAAAAAGACUAGCCUCAAAUCUAGGGGAUUGGUGCCAUAGGUCUUAUAUAGCCUAACUUAAUUAGUUUUCCUUCAUUCCUGGGAUUUUUUAAUCCUAUGGGUGAAAAAGGGGAUCAGUUGCUUUAGCUUGUGGCGCAAAAUGCCUGACACUGCAAAUAGCAAAAGUUUUUUUUUUAGUGACUGCUGGAAACUUUGAUGAUAAACAGUGAGGCUUCAUAAAUCAAAGAUCUUCCUGUUGACAGAGAUGAAUAUUAAAAGUUGUUUGCAUUUUACUAUAGCUUUGAAAUUGCCUGUGUCUCACAGGCAAUGUUGAUGAUAAAAUCCUGAUUCAGGAACAUAUUCUCCCAUGUGCCUGAAUUCCUAGGAGUCCUGACAAACUGUAGACACAGGAAAAUCAGGGGGGUAACUGGGCCUUAUCAGGUAAGGCUUUAAGGCAUUGUAAUACAACUUGGUUUCCGGAGUUUCCUUGAUGGGAGACUAUAAAUGUCAGCUUAAAUAUAGGCCAUGUCAUACUUUAUUGAACUUGAUUUUCUACUUUUUAAAACAAAAAUCUUUUGUUUUAAAUAUUAACUGAGUAAAAGAAGAAGGUUAUUGUCUGCUUAUUUUUGCUUGGUGAUUAUUUGAUUUGUAACUCAGUCUGUAAAAUUAGGGGUACAGUAUUUUCAGGAGUUUUAUAAUAGCUUAUUAUUAGCAUUGUGACUGAACAUGAGGAAAGUACUGUGCAUAAUUUUAUAAGUAUAAACCAUUUACAAAAUUUAAAAAUACCAAUUUCCUUUUAGUUUUUAAUUUUUAAAACUAAUAAACUUUGGGGAAAUGUUAUUGCUCUUCAACUUUAUUUUAAAAAGAACUUAAUUGUGGAAUGUUGUUGAGUAUGUUUAAUAUGUUAGCUUGAGAUUUUAGUUAACUGACUUGGUGAUUUUAGUAUAAUCCAAAAGGUAAAGAAUAAAACAAAAGAUUUGUUUUAAGUGCUAAGCAAGAACUAGCAGUCUUGUUUUUGUUUUAACUGAAAUUACCUGAUGAUGGUAAAUCUGAGUCAUCACUUUAAUAUCUGAUUUUUUUAAAAGACUAUUUAUUGAAACAGUAUUGGAGGAAAUAGAAUAUGAAAAUGUGUAGGGGUUUUUGAGAUGCCUUUUUGCCAUUUCAUUAAGAAACUGAACAGAAAUAAGUUUUUUAUGUGGCAAAACCUAUUCAAAUUGGGUCUCAAUUCUUUGAAUCAUGUUAUUUUUUAGAUGUAAAACUUGGUUUCAUUUCUAAAGGCUUAUUUUAGAGAUUUACAAAAGAAAAUGAACUGCCUGGAAUAAAAGACUUAUUUUUCUCAUGUUGCAUUUCCAAGGAGGGUUAAUUGAAGUAACAGAAUCCUGCCUUAUUUAUAUCUCUUACAUAGAAACCUCAGCAGCCCUCCAGUGUUUACCCUUACCCUAUCUCCUCAAAUGCCACCCUGUAUACAAGCCCUCCCACCUAACUUUCCUCCCUCCCUUCCACUCUUGUUUUAUCUGCUGCCUGAAGUCAUCUCCAAAUACCCUCUUGCUGUCUACAGAUAUAUAAUUAUAAACUUGGCAGAUGCAGUGAGGAAAAAAAAUACCUGAGAGUCUAACAGAGAGACGUAAUGUAAUUGAAGAUUUAAGGAAGACACUUGUAAAGUGAUGUUUGAGUCAGGAUCUAAAGGAUGGAAUAGUAGGUGGGCAGCUGAAGACUGAGAGGGAAGAAUGCUCCUGACAAGAGGACAGUGUGUGUGAGGGCCUUGCAGUGGGAACGCCAGGCUAGUCCGGGAUGCCGAAAGAAGGCCCAUCAUGACUGAUCAUGGGGGAUGUCCCAAAAUGAGGGAGCAUUCCGUUACAGAUGAAUAUCUUAGGGACCAUGUUCUGUGUCCUUAGUGCACUGGAGCCCAGUGGAGGGUGUUAAGGAAGGUAGUGACAUGACUCAGGUCCAUAUUUCUGAAAGCUUAAUCUGGCUGCGACUGGAAAAUUCAUUGAGGGAGAGUUAAGAAUGGAAGCAGGGGCCAAGCAAAAUGAGUUUUUGGACUGGUACCACUGAGUGGUGAUCGUGACUGAAGCAGCAGGAUUGUGCCAAAUGCAGGAGGUAAGAAGUGAACCUAUUUGAAAUUGAUGUUUUAUAGGUAAAGUAGAGAGGACUUAGUGAUGUGUAUUGAGCACAGUGGGUAAAAGAGGGGGAGAUGGCAUGGGUCAUUAGAUGGAUUUACUGAAAUGACAGACACUGGCAGAAAAAGAGUAGUGAUAUUCAGCCUUAGAUGUGGGAAGUUAGAAAGUGCCAGUGACUCAUACAGGUGAAGAUUUUUAAUAAGCAGUACAAUCAGUGAGUGACUAGAGAGAGCUGAACUACAGAUAGCUCAAAGGUGGAAGAGAGUAGGGCUCUGGGCCGAACUCUUCAGAAUCUUGAAGUUUAAAAGUUGGGUUAAAAAAAAAAAAAAGGAAACCUGCAAGUAAAAAGGAAAAAAAA